rnacentral:tRNA from 1 species
GGUUUAUCGUUGUGGCAACAAAAGAUUUUGAAAGUCUUUAUUAGACGUUCAAUUCGUCUAUAAACCU